AUUGAACGCUGGCGGCAUGCCUUACACAUGCAAGUCGAACGGCAGCACGGGAGCAAUCCUGGUGGCGAGUGGCGAACGGGUGAGUAAAGUAUCGGAACGUGCCCAGUCGUGGGGGAUAACGUAGCGAAAGUUACGCUAAUACCGCAUACGAUCUAUGGAUGAAAGCGGGGGAUCGCAAGACCUCGCGCGAUUGGAGCGGCCGAUAUCAGAUUAGGUAGUUGGUGGGGUAAAGGCUCACCAAGCCGACGAUCUGUAGCUGGUCUGAGAGGACGACCAGCCACACUGGGACUGAGGCCCGGCCCAGACUCCUACGGGAGGCAGCAGUGGGGAAUUUUGGACAAUGGGCGCAAGCCUGAUCCAGCCAUGCCGCGUGCAGGAUGAAGGCCUUCGGGUUGUAAACUGCUUUUGUACGGAACGAAAAGGUUUGGCUUAAUACGUUGAACUCAUGACGGUACCGUAAGAAUAAGCACCGGCUAACUACGUGCCAGCCGCCGCCGUAA
rnacentral:rRNA from 1 species